rnacentral:rRNA from 1 species
GAUGAACGCUGGCGGCGUGCCUAAUACAUGCAAGUCGAGCGAACAGACGAGGAGCUUGCUCCUCUGACGUUAGCGGCGGACGGGUGAGUAACACGUGGAUAACCUACCUAUAAGACUGGGAUAACUUCGGGAAACCGGAGCUAAUACCGGAUAAUAUAUUGAACCGCAUGGUUCAAUAGUGAAAGACGGUUUUGCUGUCACUUAUAGAUGGAUCCGCGCCGCAUUAGCUAGUUGGUAAGGUAACGGCUUACCAAGGCGACGAUGCGUAGCCGACCUGAGAGGGUGAUCGGCCACACUGGAACUGAGACACGGUCCAGACUCCUACGGGAGGCAGCAGUAGGGAAUCUUCCGCAAUGGGCGAGAGCCUGACGGAGCAACGCCGCGUGAGUGAUGAAGGUCUUCGGAUCGUAAAGCUCUGUUAUUAGGGAAGAACAAAGGUUUGAGUAACUAUGCACGUCUUGACGGUACCUAAUCAGAAAGCCACGGCUAACUACGUG